CUACGGGAUGCACCAGUGGGGAAUAUUGCACAAUGGGCGCAAGCCUGAUGCAGCCAUGCCGCGUGUAUGAAGAAGGCCUUCGGGUUGUAAAGUACUUUCAGCGGGGAGGAAGGGAGUAAAGUUAAUACCUUUGCUCAUUGACGUUACCCGCAGAAGAAGCACCGGCUAACUCCGUGCCAGCAGCCGCGGUAAUACGGAGGGUGCAAGGCGUUAAUCGGAAUUACUGGGCGUAAAGCGCACGCAGGCGGUUUGUUAAGUCAGAUGUGAAAUCCCCGGGCUCAACCUGGGAACUGCAUCUGAUACUGGCAAGCUUGAGUCUCGUAGAGGGGGGUAGAAUUCCAGGUGCAGCGGUGAAAUGCGUAGAGAUCUGGAGGAAUACCGGUGGCGAAGGCGGCCCCCUGGACGAAGACUGACGCUCAGGUGCGAAAGCGUGGGGAGCAAACAGGAUUAGAUACCCCGGUAGUC
rnacentral:rRNA from 1 species